UUAACACAUGCAAGUCGAACGAUGAAGCCCUUCGGGGUGGAUUAGUGGCGAACGGGUGAGUAACACGUGGGCAAUCUGCCCUGCACUCUGGGACAAGCCCUGGAAACGGGGUCUAAUACCGGAUAUGACCAUCUUGGGCAUCCUUGAUGGUGUAAAGCUCCGGCGGUGCAGGAUGAGCCCGCGGCCUAUCAGCUUGUUGGUGAGGUAAUGGCUCACCAAGGCGACGACGGGUAGCCGGCCUGAGAGGGCGACCGGCCACACUGGGACUGAGACACGGCCCAGACUCCUACGGGAGGCAGCAGUGGGGAAUAUUGCACAAUGGGCGAAAGCCUGAUGCAGCGACGCCGCGUGAGGGAUGACGGCCUUCGGGUUGUAAACCUCUUUCAGCAGGGAAGAAGCGAAAGUGACGGUACCUGCAGAAGAAGCGCCGGCUAACUACGUGCCAGCAGCCGCGGUAAUACGUAGGGCGCAAGCGUUGUCCGGAAUUAUUGGGCGUAAAGAGCUCGUAGGCGGCUUGUCACGUCGAUUGUGAAAGCUCGGGGCUUAACCCCGAGUCUGCAGUCGAUACGGGCUAGCUAGAGUGUGGUAGGGGAGAUCGGAAUUCCUGGUGUAGCGGUGAAAUGCGCAGAUAUCAGGAGGAACACCGGUGGCGAAGGCGGAUCUCUGGGCCAUUACUGACGCUGAGGAGC
rnacentral:rRNA from 1 species